AGCGAACGCUGGCGGCAGGCUUAACACAUGCAAGUCGAACGGUCUCUUCGGAGGCAGUGGCAGACGGGUGAGUAAUGCAUGGGAAUCUACCGUUCUCUACGGAAUAACUCAGGGAAACUUGUGCUAAUACCGUAUACGCCCUUUUGGGGAAAGAUUUAUCGGAGAAUGAUGAGCCCAUGUUGGAUUAGCUAGUUGGUAGGGUAAAGGCCUACCAAGGCGACGAUCCAUAGCUGGUCUGAGAGGAUGAUCAGCCACACUGGGACUGAGACACGGCCCAGACUCCUACGGGAGGCAGCAGUGGGGAAUAUUGGACAAUGGGCGCAAGCCUGAUCCAGCCAUGCCGCGUGAGUGAUGAAGGCCCUAGGGUUGUAAAGCUCUUUCACCGGUGAAGAUAAUGACGGUAACCGGAGAAGAAGCCCCGGCUAACUUCGUGCCAGCCGCCGCAGUAA
rnacentral:rRNA from 1 species